ensembl:scaRNA SCARNA16 small Cajal body-specific RNA 16
ACGGUCUGGGGAAAGGCUCCUGUGUUGUUGAGCCUGCCAAGUUGUGGGUGCAGCAUUGUACCAGGCAGCCCAACCCUGACCUAAAGUAAAUUCCCGGGAGAAGUCUUUCCUGGGUUUUGAAUUUGCAGUAACAGGUGUGAGCAUUCUAGCAGCAGUUUGAUGAUCAUGUAUGAUACUGCAAACAGGA